UAACACAUGCAAGUCGAGGGGCAGCAUGAUUUGUAGCAAUACAGAUUGAUGGCGACCGGCGCACGGGUGAGUAACGCGUAUGCAACUUACCUAUCAGAGGGGGAUAGCCCGGCGAAAGUCGGAUUAAUACCCCAUAAAACAGGGGUCCCGCAUGGGAAUAUUUGUUAAAGAUUCAUCGCUGAUAGAUAGGCAUGCGUUCCAUUAGGCAGUUGGCGGGGUAACGGCCCACCAAACCGACGGUGGAUAGGGGUUCUGAGAGGAAGGUCCCCCACAUUGGUACUGAGACACGGACCAAACUCCUACGGGAGGCAGCAGUGAGGAAUAUUGGUCAAUGGCCGAGAGGCUGAACCAGCCAAGUCGCGUGAAGGAAGAAGGAUCUAUGGUUUGUAAACUUCUUUUAUAGGGGAAUAAAGUGGAGGACGUGUCCUUUUUUGUAUGUACCCUAUGAAUAAGCAUCGGCUAACUCCGUGCCAGCAGCCGCGGUAAUACCGGAGGAUGCGAGCGUUAUCCGGAUUUAUUGGGUUUAAAGGGUGCGUAGGUGGUGAUU
rnacentral:rRNA from 1 species